CCUACGGGAGGCAGCAGUGGGGAAUAUUGGACAAUGGGGGGAACCCUGAUCCAGCGACGCCGCGUGCGUGAAGAAGUAUUUCGGUAUGUUAAGCUCUAUCAGCAGGGGAGAAAAUGACGGUACCUGUAUCAGAAGCCCCGGCUAACUACGUGCCAGCAGCCGCGGUAAUACGGAGGCAGCAAGCGUUAUCCGGAUUUACUGGGAGUAAAGGGAGCGUAGGCGGUGUAGCAAGUCUGAUGUGAAAGGUCGGGGCUCAACCCCGGGACUGCAUUGGAAACUGUUGGACUAGAGUAAAGGAGAGGGAAGCGGAAUUCAUGGUGUAGCGGUGAAAUGCGUAGAUAUUAGGAGGAACACCAGUGGCGAAGGCGGCUUACUGGACUUUAACUGACGUUGAGGCACGAAAGCGUGGGGAGCAAACAGGAUUAGAUACCCGAGUAGUC
rnacentral:rRNA from 1 species